rnacentral:rRNA from 1 species
CCCUUAGAUGUUCUGGGCCGCACGCGCGUUACACUGAUGCAUUCAACGAGUUCUUCCUUGGCCGAGAGGCCUGGGCAAUCUUUUGAACGUGCAUCGUGAUAGGGAUAGAUUAUUGCAAUUAUUAAUCUUGAACGAGGAAUUCCUAGUAAACGCAAGUCAUCAGCUUGCAUUGAUUACGUCCCUGCCCUUUGUACACACCGCCCGUCGCACCUACCGAUUGAAUGGUCCGGUGAAAUCUCGGGACGGCGGCUUGGUCGCUUGCGUCCGACUGCUGAAACUUGAUUAAACCAUAUCAUUUAGAGGAAGGUGAAGUCGUAACA